rnacentral:ncRNA from 1 species
UCAAGGCUUAUGAAGGAAAGAGUAGUUAAGAAACACUAGGCAAGAGAGAGGAUUUCUAGGCUGGAAGAAUCCUUACUAGAUGACUUAACGAAAAACAUUCUGGAAGCUUUAUAUCGAAAGGAUAGUAGGUAUAAACGUAGGCAGGCGUUAACUGUGUAAGUGGAAGUGUCAAUGUAUGAUGGGACGCUUCAACUAGGGUGGCAACACGGGUGAACUCUCGUCCCUUUU